rnacentral:rRNA from 1 species
UGGGGAAUUUUGGACAAUGGGCGCAAGCCUGAUCCAGCCAUGCCGCGUGCAGGAUGACGGUCCUAUGGAUUGUAAACUGCUUUUUGUACAGGAAGAAACAGUUCUACGUGUAGAACCUUGACGGUACUGUAAGAAUAAGGAUCGGCUAACUCCGUGCCAGCAGCCGCGGUAAUACGGAGGAUCCAAGCGUUAUCCGGAAUCAUUGGGUUUAAAGGGUCCGUAGGCGGUUAGAUAAGUCAGUGGUGAAAGCCCAUCGCUCAACGGUGGAACGGCCAUUGAUACUGUCUGACUUGAAUUAUUAGGAAGUAACUAGAAUAUGUAGUGUAGUGGUGAAAUGCUUAGAGAUUACAUGGAAUACCAAUUGCGAAGGCAGGUUACUACUAAUGGAUUGACGCUGAUGGACGAAAGCGUGGGUAGCGAACAGGAUUAGAUACCCAUGUAGUCCCUGAGCGGGCUGGCAAGGCGCAU